rnacentral:rRNA from 1 species
CGCUGGCGGCGUGCCUAAUACAUGCAAGUCGAGCGCAGGAAGCGAGCUGAUCCCCUUCGGGGGUGACGCUCGUGGAAUGAGCGGCGGACGGGUGAGUAACACGUGGGCAACCUGCCUGUAAGAUCGGAAUAACUCCGGGAAACCGGAGCUAAUGCCGGGUAACAUGUUCCUUCGCAUGAAGGAACAUUAAAAGAUGGCUUCUCGCUAUCACUUACAGAUGGGCCCGCGGCGCAUUAGCUAGUUGGUGAGGUAACGGCUCACCAAGGCAACGAUGCGUAGCCGACCUGAGAGGGUGAUCGGCCACACUGGGACUGAGACACGGCCCAGACUCCUACGGGAGGCAGCAGUAGGGAAUCUUCCGCAAUGGACGAAAGUCUGACGGAGCAACGCCGCGUGAACGAUGAAGGUCUUCGGAUCGUAAAGUUCUGUUGUUAGGGAAGAACAAGUACCGUGCGAAUAGAACGGUACCUUGACGGUACCUAACGAGGAAGCCCCGGCUAACUACGUGCCAGCAGCCGCGGUAAUACGUAGGGGGCAAGCGUUGUCCGGAAUUAUUGGGCGUAAAGCGCGCGCAGGCGGUUCCUUAAGUCUGAUGUGAAAGGCCACGGCUCAACCGUGGAGGGCCAUUGGAAACUGGGGAACUUGAGGACAGAAGAGGAGAGUGGAAUUCCACGUGUAGCGGUGAAAUGCGUAGAUAUGUGGAGGAACACCAGUGGCGAAGGCGACUCUCUGGUCUGUUUCUGACGCUGAGGUGCGAAAGCGUGGGUAGCAAACAGGAUUAGAUACCCUGGUAGUCCACGCCGUAAACGAUGAGUGCUAGGUGUUAGGGGGCUUCCACCCCUUAGUGCUGAAGUUAACGCAUUAAGCACUCCGCCUGGGGAGUACGGCCGCAAGGCUGAAACUCAAAGGAAUUGACGGGGGCCCGCACAAGCGGUGGAGCAUGUGGUUUAAUUCGAAGCAACGCGAAGAACCUUACCAGGUCUUGACAUCUUUGGACCACCCUAGAGAUAGGGUCUUCCCUUCGGGGACCAAAUGACAGGUGGUGCAUGGUUGUCGUCAGCUCGUGUCG